UACGUAGGGGGCUAGCGUUGUCCGGAAUCAUUGGGCGUAAAGCGCGCGUAGGUGGCCCCGUAAGUCCGCUGUGAAAGUCAAAGGCUCAACCUUUGAAAGCCGGUGGAUACUGUGGGACUAGAGUACGGAAGAGGCGAGUGGAAUUCCUGGUGUAGCGGUGGAAUGCGCAGAUAUCAGGAGGAACACCAAUAGCGAAGGCAGCUCGCUGGGACGUUACUGACACUGAGGCGCGAAAGCGUGGGGAGCGAACAGG
rnacentral:rRNA from 1 species